GUCUCUUCGGAGACAUUCGAUAAAAUUAGAACCAUAGAGAGAAGAUUAGCAUAGGCCCCAGUCAAGGAUGAGAAGCACAAAUCGAGAAAUGGUCCAAAUAUUU
rnacentral:snRNA from 1 species